rnacentral:rRNA from 1 species
AUUGAUUGGGUGUAAAGCGCGCGCAGGCGGUCUUUUAAGUCUGAUGUGAAAGCCCCCGGCUUAACCGGGGAGGGUCAUUGGAAACUGGAAGACUGGAGUGCAGAAGAGGAGAGUGGAAUUCCACGUGUAGCGGUGAAAUGCGUAGAUAUGUGGAGGAACACCAGUGGCGAAGGCGACUCUCUGGUCUGUAACUGACGCUGAGGCGCGAAAGCGUGGGGAGCAAACAGGAUUAGAUACCCGGGUA